GCACGGUGGCUUAGUGGUUAGUACAUUUGCCUCACACGUUCAGGGUCAGGGGAUCGAUUCCCACCACGUCCC